AUUGAACGCUGGCGGCAUGCCUUACACAUGCAAGUCGAACGGCCUCCCUGGAGCAAUCCUGGUGGCGCUGGUCGAACGCGUGAGUAAUAUAUCGGAACGUGCUCAGUCGUUGGGGAUAAUGCAGCGAAAGCUGUGCUAAUACCGCAUACGAUCUAAGGAUGAAAACGGGGGAUCGCGAGACCUCGCGCGACUGGAGCGGCCGAUAUCAGAUUAGCUAGUUGGUGGGGUAAAGGCCCACAAAGGGGACGAUCUGUAGCUGGUAGGAGAGGACGUCAGGCGACACGGGAGCUGAGAAGCGGUCCAGACUCCUACGGGAGGCAGCAGUGGGGAAGUUUGGACAAAGGGCGCAAGCCUGAUCCAGCAAUGCCGCGUGCAGGAUGAAGGCUUUCGGGUUGUAAACUGCUUUUGUACGGAACGAAACGGCCCUUUCUAAUACAGGGGGCUAAUGACGGUACCGUAAGAAUAAGCACCGGCUAACUACGUGCCAGCCGCCGCAGUAACAC
rnacentral:rRNA from 1 species